rnacentral:rRNA from 1 species
CAAUAGCGUAUAUUAAAGUUGUUGCGGUUAAAAAGCUCGUAGUUGGAUUUCUGCUGAGAACGACCGGUCCGCCCUUUGGGUGUGUAUCUGGCUCUUUCUUGGCAUCUUCUUGGUGAACGUUGCUGCACUUGACUGUGUGGAGCGCUACCCAGGACUUUUACUUUGAGGAAAUUAGAGUGUUUCAAGCAGGCAUACGCCUUGAAUACAUUAGCAUGGAAUAAUAAGAUAGGACCUCGGUUCUAUUUUGUUGGUUUCUAGGGCUAAGAUAAUGAUUAAUAGGGAUAAUUGGGGGCAUCUGUAUCAACGCGUCAGAGGUGGAAUUCUUGGAUUGCGUUGCGACAAACUACUGCGAAAGCAUUUGCCAAGGAUGUUUUCAUUGA